rnacentral:rRNA from 1 species
UCGAACGAUGAAGCUGUGCUUGCACAGUGGAUUAGUGGCGAACGGGUGAGUAACACGUGAGUAACCUGCCCUCCACUUUGGGAUAACUCCGAGAAAUCGGGGCUAAUACUGGAUAUGACUAUGGCCCGCAUGGGUUGUGGUGGAAAGUUUUUCGGUGGGGGAUGGGCUCGCGGCCUAUCAGUUUGUUGGUGAGGUAGUGGCUCACCAAGGCGAUGACGGGUAGCCGGCCUGAGAGGGCGACCGGCCACACUGGGACUGAGACACGGCCCAGACUCCUACGGGAGGCAGCAGUGGGGAAUAUUGCACAAUGGGCGAAAGCCUGAUGCAGCGACGCCGCGUGGGGGAUGACGGCCUUCGGGUUGUAAACCUCUUUCAGCAAGGAAGAAGCCAAAGUGACCGGUACUUUGCAGAAGAAGCGCCGGCUAACUACGUGCCAGC